GCUUACGGCCAUACCACCCUGAGAACGCCCGAUCUCGUCCGAUCUCGGAAGCUAAGCAGGGUCGGGCCUGGUAGUACUUGGAUGGGAGACCGCCUGGGAAUACCAGGUGCUGUAAGCU
rnacentral:rRNA from 1 species